GGUGAACGCUGGCGGCGUGCUUAAGACAUGCAAGUCGAACGAUCGUCUUCGGACGGUAGUGGCGCACGGGUGAGUAACGCGUAACUGACCUGCCCCCAAGUUCCGAAUAACCCUCCGAAAGGAGGGCUAAUACGGGAGGUGCUGUCCCCUCCUGUGGGGCCAGUAAAGGCUUGACCGCUUGGGGGUGGGGUUGCGUUCCAUCAGCUAGAUGGUGGGGGAAGGGCCUACGAUGGCAAAGACGGAUAACCGGCCUGAGAGGGUGGCCGGUCACAGGUGCACUGGGAAACGGGUUCCACUCCUACGUGAGGCAGGAGGUAGCAGUGGUCACCAAUGGACAAAAGUCGGAGGCAGGGUGGAGGAGUGAGGGAUGAGGGUUGUCGGAUCGUAGGCCUCAGAAUGAGUGACGAAAGACCCGGAAGCGAGAGGAGGGUACCGGUGUAAUAGCACCGGCUAACUACGUG
rnacentral:rRNA from 1 species